rnacentral:rRNA from 1 species
GCUAGCACAGUCCUUCUGUAGCAGAGCUUAACGGAGACCUUGCACCCGAGAGGGGGGAGGCGACUAUAAAUGAACUCCCAGCGCAAGUCAGCACUGCUGGCAACACAAUCGAAUUGCGGGGACGCUUUAAAGCCCACCAGUACCAACUGCUCCUCUGGGGCAGGGCCAGCUCUGCUGGAGGUCACAAUCUGGUGGGAUGUUACAAUAAGCAAUCCGCAGCGGCUCGGCCGUCCACAGACUAAGUGGUUGUGGGUAGGUAGCCCCUACUUAAGAUAUAGUCGGGCCCUGUGACAGGUCACAGGGGCUUCUGCGUCCGUAGGUGAACCUGCGGAAGGAUCAUUAAUAAAAGGAUACCUUCGGGUAUACCCCACCCGUGUCUACAUACUCUUGUUGCUUUGGCAGGCCGUGGUCUUCCACUGUGGGCUCUGCCUGCAUGUGCCUGCCAGAGGACCAAACUCUGAAUUUUAGUGAUGUCUGAGUACUAUAUAAUAGUUAAAACUUUCAACAACGGAUCUCUUGGUUCUGGCAUCGAUGAAGAACGCAGCGAAAUGCGAUAAGUAAUGUGAAUUGCAGAAUUCAGUGAAUCAUCGAAUCUUUGAACGCACAUUGCACCCGGUGGUAUUCCGCCGGGUAUGCCUGUUCGAGCGUCUGUAGAACAACAACUAUAGCAAGCUUUAGGCUUGAUUCUGGGGUUGCGGCGUCAAGCUGCAGCCUUGAAGUCCACGGGCGGUUCCGAUAGGUUCUACGCGUAGUAAUUUCUCCUCGCUACUGAACUUUGUCGGCACAUUUGGUACUAAGUCCAGCAAUGGCCACGCCAAGCCCUUAACACCCAAUUUUAGUUUGACCUCGGAUCAAGUAGGGAUACCCGCUGAACUUAAGCAUAUCAAUAAGCGGAGGAAAAGAAACCAACAGGGAUUACCUUAGUAACGGCGAGUGAAGCGGUAAAUGCUCAAAUUUGAAAGCUGCCAACAGGCCGCGUUGUAAUUUGUAGAAGAUGCUUUGGGUAUCGGCCCAGUCUAAGUUCCUUGGAACAGGACGUCAUAGAGGGUGAGAAUCCCGUAUGUGAUUGGUGCCGGCCCCCGUGUAAAGCUCUUUCGACGAGUCGAGUUGUUUGGGAAUGCAGCUCAAAAUGGGUGGUAAAUUUCAUCUAAAGCUAAAUAUUGGCCAGAGACCGAUAGCGCACAAGUAGAGUGAUCGAAAGAUGAAAAGCACUUUGGAAAGAGAGUUAAACAGUACGUGAAAUUGUUGAAAGGGAAGCGCUUGCAAUCAGACUUGCAGGCGGUUGAUCAUCCGAGGUUCUCCCCGGUGCACUCGAUCGUCUUCAGGCCAGCAUCGGUUUCAGUGGUGGGAUAAAGGCUGUGAGAAUGUGGCUCUUCGGAGUGUUAUAGCUCACGGUGCAAUGCCGCCUACUGGGACCGAGGACCGCGCUUCGGCUAGGA